rnacentral:rRNA from 1 species
CGCGCAGGCGGCCAGGUCAGUCGAAUGUGAAAGCCCCCGGCUCAACUGGGGAAGGUCGUUCGAUACUGCCUGGCUCGAAGAUAGGAGAGGGAAGUGGAAUUUCAGGUGUAGUGGUGAAACGCGUAGAUAUCUGAAGGAACACCAGUGGCGAAGGCGACUUUCUGGCCUAUUCUUGACGCUGAGGCGCGAAAGCUAGGGGAGCGAACG